AGAGUUUGAUCCUGGCUCAGAUUGAACGCUGGCGGCAUGCCUUACACAUGCAAGUCGAACGGCAUCGCGGGAAAGCUUGCUUUCCUGGCGGCGAGUGGCGAACGGGUGAGUAACACAUCGGAACGUACCGGCUAGUGGGGGAUAACCCGUCGAAAGACGGGCUAAUACCGCAUACGCUCUUCGGAGGAAAGCAGGGGACCUUUGGGCCUUGCGCUAGCCGAGCGGCCGAUGUCCGAUUAGCUAGUUGGUGGGGUAAAGGCCUACCAAGGCGACGAUCGGUAGCGGGUCUGAGAGGACGAUCCGCCACACUGGGACUGAGACACGGCCCAGACUCCUACGGGAGGCAGCAGUGGGGAAUCUUGGACAAUGGGGGCAACCCUGAUCCAGCAAUGCCGCGUGGGUGAAGAAGGCCUUCGGGUUGUAAAGCCCUUUCGGCAGGGAAGAAAUCGGCGGGGCGAAUAACCCUGCUGGAUGACGGUACCUGCAGAAGAAGCACCGGCUAACUACGUG
rnacentral:rRNA from 1 species